rnacentral:rRNA from 1 species
UUUGGAGACGGGACACUAGAGAGGAGGAAGGCGAUUAAGUGCCUUGGAACAGGCUGCCGUAGAGGGUGAGAGCCCCGUGAAUCGCUGGAGACCGAUCAAUUAGUGCCGGCCGAAGAGUCGAGUUGUUGGGGAAUGCAGUUCUAAGCGGGUGGUAUAUUCCAUCUAAGGCUAAAUAUUAGUGAGAGACCGAUAGCAAACAAGUACAGUGAUGGAAAGAUGAAAAGAACUUUGGAAAGAGAGUGAAAUAGUACGUGAAAUUGUUGAAAGGGAAGGGUAUUUGAUCCGACAUGGUGUUUAGCA